rnacentral:rRNA from 1 species
CCCCGCACAAGCAGCGGAGCGUGUGGUUUAAUUCGAUGAUACACGAAGAACCUUUACCAGGGUUUGACAUAUUGGUGGUAGGAAGGGAAACCUGACCGACCUUCGGGGAGCCAGUACAGGUGCUGCAUGGCUGUCGUCAGCUCGUGUCGUGAGAUGUUCGGUUAAGUCCGCUAACGAGCGCAACCCUCGCUGUGUGUUACAUGUGUCACACGGGACUGCCGGUCUUAAACCGGAGGAAGGUGGGGAUGACGCCAAGUCAGCAUGGCCUUUAUGUCCUGGGCUACACACACGCUACAAUGGUUAGUACAAUAGGUUGCUAAGCCGCGAGGUGGAGCCAAUCCAUAAAGCUAGCCUCAGUUCAGAUUGUAGGCUGCAACUCGCCUGCAUGAAGUUGGAGUUGCUAGUAACCGCAGGUCAGCUAUACUGCGGUGAAUACGUUCCCGGGGCUU